rnacentral:rRNA from 1 species
AUUGAACGCUGGCGGCAUGCCUUACACAUGCAAGUCGAACGGCAGCACGGAGCUUGCUCUGGUGGCGAGUGGCGAACGGGUGAGUAAUAUAUCGGAACGUACCCUAGAGUGGGGGAUAACGUAGCGAAAGUUACGCUAAUACCGCAUACGAUCUAAGGAUGAAAGUGGGGGAUCGCAAGACCUCAUGCUCGUGGAGCGGCCGGUAUCUGAUUAGCUAGUUGGUAGGGUAAAAGCCUACCAAGGCAUCGAUCAGUAGCUGGUCUGAGAGGACGACCAGCCACACUGGAACUGAGACACGGUCCAGACUCCUACGGGAGGCAGCAGUGGGGAAUUUUGGACAAUGGGCGAAAGCCUGAUCCAGCAAUGCCGCGUGAGUGAAGAAGGCCUUCGGGUUGUAAAGCUCUUUUGUCAGGGAAGAAACGGUGAAAGCUAAUAUCUUUUGCUAAUGACGGUACCUGAAGAAUAAGCACCGGCUAACUACGUGCCAGCAGCCGCGGUAAUACGUAGGGUGCAAGCGUUAAUCGGAAUUACUGGGCGUAAAGCGUGCGCAGGCGGUUUUGUAAGUCUGAUGUGAAAUCCCCGGGCUCAACCUGGGAAUUGCAUUGGAGACUGCAAGGCUAGAAUCCGGCAGAGGGGGGUAGAAUUCCACGUGUAGCAGUGAAAUGCGUAGAUAUGUGGAGGAACACCGAUGGCGAAGGCAGCCCCCUGGGUCAAGAUUGACGCUCAUGCACGAAAGCGUGGGGAGCAAACAGGAUUAGAUACCCUGGUAGUCCACGCCCUAAACGAUGUCUACUAGUUGUCGGGUCUUAAUUGACUUGGUAACGCAGCUAACGCGUGAAGUAGACCGCCUGGGGAGUACGGUCGCAAGAUUAAAACUCAAAGGAAUUGACGGGGACCCGCACAAGCGGUGGAUGAUGUGGAUUAAUUCGAUGCAACGCGAAAAACCUUACCUACCCUUGACAUGGCUGGAAUCCUUGAGAGAUCAGGGAGUGCUCGAAAGAGAACCAGUACACAGGUGCUGCAUGGCUGUCGUCAGCUCGUGUCGUGAGAUGUUGGGUUAAGUCCCGCAACGAGCGCAACCCUUGUCAUUAGUUGCUACGAAAGGGCACUCUAAUGAGACUGCCGGUGACAAACCGGAGGAAGGUGGGGAUGACGUCAAGUCCUCAUGGCCCUUAUGGGUAGGGCUUCACACGUCAUACAAUGGUACAUACAGAGCGCCGCCAACCCGCGAGGGGGAGCUAAUCGCAGAAAGUGUAUCGUAGUCCGGAUUGUAGUCUGCAACUCGACUGCAUGAAGUUGGAAUCGCUAGUAAUCGCGGAUCAGCAUGUCGCGGUGAAUACGUUCCCGGGUCU